ensembl:lncRNA
AUCUAAUUGACCUGAAUUUCAUGGCAGCAAGAAAGAAGCUAUGUUGAGGUCAUGCGAGGCCAUCACACACCUGCAUGCUCUCCACAGAUCCAGGGUUUUGUUGUGACAGACCGGAUCAUCGCGUUUUCUCUGUCGGUGGAACUUGCAUCGCUGUGUCAUCACCAUGGAUCAGGUUGCUCACAGGUUCGCAACGGAUCCGGAGACUAUACCAGGAACACCUGGCACGACGAAGGAAGAUACCCUACGACCUGGAUGGUACAUUCUAGUACUGGGGAGAGAUGAUUUGAAAAGGUACCGAUCCUACAGCUAGCCGAUAUCCUGUCAGGGUUAUCUUAUCUGUGGCUAAUUAAGCGAUGCAUGUUAGCCAUGUGAUCUGUCUGUUCUCACUGGCUCAAGAACAAAAGUCAUCAGUCCAAACAACGGUGAUCUAAUUGGAGGUUCGAUUGGGCCGAGGGAUAUGAUGUCACCACGUGGAAGUACUUUGAUGGGCAUAAGGGUACCGGGGGCAGCUAGGCAGGACAAUGAGGCAUUAUGCACACCACGCCGUCGAUUUCUAUCUGCACAGGGACACCCGGGAUAGUGCAUCAUUCUCUGAUGAAAGCACCCUGCACCCUUAGCACCACCUGAUUAGAACACUUCCACCAUAGAACAGCUGAAACAGACAUGAAUGACCUGACUGUAAAUGUGUGUUGUUGUACAUUGUCAUGCUGGCAAUAAACAUUUAGUUUACGGUUAUGAUUUUGCUUGUAAUAUGAGCAUUUCCGUUUUUGAUGUCUUCAAAAUGUAAUGUAAGGGCUUAUGCGACUUUGAAGCUAGACUGCCACCUG